UCUGAUGAGAAUCUGAAGCAAAGGUUUUCUUGUAACAAGUCAACUAAUGUCGAGGGAAAAGAGUUUAGAUGUUGGAUGAAUUGAAAUGCUCGUUUUGAACUUUUAAGUUCUUUUUUAAAGAAUCGCAGUAUCUCCAAGAAAGUUAUCCUCAUCUCGGACAAUAAAAUCACAAUGUCUAUAUCCGGAGAACGGUAACCAUGGUCGGAAAAGCAGCUUCCUUGACAUCUCUCCAAAUCUCAUGUCUACGCUUAAAGUAAUUCAAGACUUCAAAUGAAUGUGAGACUUAGAAAAGGAGGUUUUGCUUCAGUUGUUAAGAUGAAAACAGUGCCAUAAGGAGUUUUCUCUUUGACCACUG